GCGGGUGUAGCUCAGUUGGUUAGAGCGCCGGCCUGUCACGCCGGAGGCCGCGGGUUCGAGCCCCGUCACUCGCGCCA
rnacentral:tRNA from 1 species